AGCGGAUCUGUCCCUGAUCUCUAAAGAGACUCAAACUUCCUCCUUCAGCUCAGCUCAACUCUCCAACAUUAACUCUGCUCAACAUGCUGUCUCUGCUCACAUCUGGAUUCACUCUGCUGGUUCUGAUCACUGGAUCAGGUGUAAACUGUCAACAACUCACUGCAGCGAAGACUGAGGAGUUCAGUUCAGAGGGCAGCUCUGUUACUCUGACCUGUAGUUACACCAACAAGAUAGCUCUUGGUGAUGAUUUCUUUUGGUAUCAGCAAAAUCCUGGAAAACCUCCAGAGUUCAUCUUCUACGUCUCAGGACUCAACAACUCAAGAUCAGCAGAGUCUCUGAAAUCAUUAACAAGAUUCUCCACUUACCUGAGAGGAGAGAAACACCUGGAUCUGCUGAUCUCCUCUGCUGCAGUGACAGACUCUGCUGUGUACUACUGCGCUGUGAGGCCCACAGUGACAGGAAACACCAGAACCCUGUACAAAAACCUGCAGUACUCCACAGCAGCCACUAGAGGCCCUCACUCCCUGCUCUUCAACGGUUUGUCAAGAUUCAGACUGAUGUGAUCAAACCUGAACAAGAAAUACAAGUAAUAAAAAACUAGUAACAGGGACGGUGGGUUAAACCUACUGCUGCUCUGUGGCGCUCAGAGAACAGGAAGAACCCAGAACAGUUAAAUAAUUGUGAUUAAUUCACAAACAUCCU